UACGUAGGGGGCUAGCGUUGUCCGGAUUUAUUGGGCGUAAAGAGCUCGUAGGUGGUUCGGUAAGUCGGAUGUGAAAUCUCCAGGCUCAACCUGGAGGGGUCAUUCGAUACUGCCGUGACUAGAGUUCGGUAGAGGAGUGUGGAAUUCCUGGUGGAGCGGUGAAAUGCGCAGAGAUCAGGAGGAACACCCGUAGCGAAGGCGGCGCUCUGGGCCGAUACUGACACUGAGGAGCGAAAGCGUGGGGAGCGAACAGG
rnacentral:rRNA from 1 species